UCGAACGAUGAUGCGGCGCUUGCGCCGUUGAUUAGUGGCGAACGGGUGAGUAACACGUGAGUAACCUGCCCCCUUCUUCGGGAUAACGGUCUGAAAGGGCUGCUAAUACCGGGUAUUCACUGGUCUCCGCAUGGGGGCUGGUGGAAAGGGUUUUUUUCUGGUGGGGGAUGGGCUCGCGGCCUAUCAGCUUGUUGGUGGGGUGAUGGCCCACCAAGGCUUUGACGGGUAGCCGGCCUGAGAGGGUGACCGGUCACAUUGGGACUGAGAUACGGCCCAGACUCCUACGGGAGGCAGCAGUGGGGAAUAUUGCACAAUGGGCGCAAGCCUGAUGCAGCGACGCCGCGUGAGGGAUGGAGGCCUUCGGGUUGUGAACCUCUUUCGCCCGUGGUCAAGCCGCGAC
rnacentral:rRNA from 1 species